GCAGGGCCAGCACUCAGGCUCUGGCCAAGUUAGAUAAACAGCCUCACGCACAGCACAAGCAGAAUAAAAACUUCCGCCUCCGCUGCCCAGGCCUGCUUGGCCAGGAGGCGUCAUUUCUGGAAAACUGUGGGCUGAGGCCCAGCCCCUGGCAGCAGCCAUGUGUCCUGGGGCACAGGGCCAGCAUCUCCGUCCGGCCAGAGGUUGGAAUUAUCCCCCCCACCUCUCACACGAAGGAUGAAGGGGCACUGUCUCCAUGAGGGACCCUGAGCAUCUGGAACAGGGAGCCUCAUCGCCGGUGCCCACCCUGACCCUGGCACAUCUUUGACAUGACCUCUGCACUCGGUCCAGCUCAUCACAGAGGUGCGUGAUACCCACGUCAUCCUUGACUGGGCUGCCGCAGGGCAUGUCUGCUGGCACUGUCCUGGGCACCUACCCACUUCCUCCCACCGUGGGCGGCAGCCUUGCUGACAUCAGCCAGCUUAGGGCCUGCCUGGCACCUCUCAGAAAGGAAGGAAGCAAUCUGUCCCUACCACAGGGAGCCAACAGGAGAGGUGACCAGACCCCUCAUUCACCUGGACGGUGCAUGGCCUGGGACGGGGAGGCUCUCAAAGGGGUUCAUGGAGAACUUUCCUUUUUUUACCAUCAGGGGACCCUAGCAUUUCUGUCAAGAACACAGGACCAGGACCUGUGGUGUUCUGAGCAUGCUAGGAGUUGUCACUUAGUCCUCAGAACAGCUGUCACCCCACGUGACAAGUGAGAUUGGGUCAGAGUCCCCAUGGCCCCAAGCUCCUGCCUCAGCCUGCCCUCUGUGCUGACUUGUCUCCUGGUAUUUGUAUGGGGGUUCAUUUGUUUGGUCUCUGUGAGCCCCGGUAUCCACAGUCCUCCUCCAUACUUCCAUUUGUUCUGGGUUCGGGGGACACCAGAGCAACGCUGCAUCAGCCGCAUUGGACAAGACUGAGACCUGGGUGUCACUGGGACAGUUGGCAAGGAAGGGCAGCGCGGGCUCCACCCGGGCCAGGGUCCGUCUCCAGUGUCCCUUGUACUGUAGGUGUCAAGGCAGGAGGGACACUGGGCUUGACUCUGAGUCUCUCGGGCAGGGAGACAGGUGGGAAAGAGUCUGUAUGACGUCAAUUAAAAACUUUUGCUUAAAGAA